UGGCGGACGGGUGAGUAAUGUCUGGGAAACUGCCCGAUGGAGGGGGAUAACUACUGGAAACGGUAGCUAAUACCGCAUAACGUCGCAAGACCAAAGAGGGGGACCUUCGGGCCUCUUGCCAUCGGAUGUGCCCAGAUGGGAUUAACUAGUAGUGGGGUAACGGCUCACCUAGGCGACGAUCCCUAGCUGGUCUGAGAGGAUGACCAGCCACACUGGAACUGAGACACGGUCCAG
rnacentral:rRNA from 1 species